AGGGUCAUCUGGCCGGGCCGGCUUGGCUUGUCUGAGCUGGUAUUCCGGAUCCAGGGGCCCUAUACCUUUCUGGGGAACUAGUCUGCCCUUUACUGGGUAGGCUAGGGAGCCAGGACUUUUACCUUGAAAAAAUCAGAGUGUUCAAAGCAGGCAUUAUUGCUCGAAUGCAUUAGCAUGGAAUAAUAAAAUAGGACCUAGGUUCUAUUUUGUUGGUUUAUAGGACCAAGGUA
rnacentral:rRNA from 1 species